rnacentral:rRNA from 1 species
GAUCAAUUUGGUCCUGAUCCUGAGCUGGAAGACGUCUUUGAGGGCCUUAACCUUCAUGGUGAGGAAGAGGAGGAUCUAGAUCUAUCAGGGGAAGUAGAUGAGUUAAUUAAGGAUGUACGAUGGUUGUGCUUGUUUCGGGUUCAUACUAUGAGGCCGUUCAUCCAUGCGGCGUUGCUAAAUUCAAUGAGGAACGCAUGGGCUUGUGCCCAAGGAGUUACCUUCAAUAUCAAAGGGCCGAAUCUGUUCUUGGCUCAGUGUCACUGCCUGGGCGAUUGGAAGGGGGUCAUGGAGGGAGGCCCAUGGCAAUUCCGAAGGGAUCCGGUUGUCAUCGUGGAAUAUGAUGGUUUUACUAAUGUUUCUGAAUAUGCUCUAGAUAUGUAUCCCAUUUGGGCGAGGAUCAAAGGGCUGCCAAAUGGUCUUACAAGAAAGAGGGAGUUAGCUGAGAAAGUAGCAAAGAAGGUGGGAGAGCCGCCGUUCACGGUGGUAGUUAAUGAGGGGAGGAUCAACCCCUCUAGUCAUUUAAGGGUCAGGGUUUUUGUGAAUGUUCAGAAACCAUUGGUGAGGUUUGUGCGUAUUACUCUUAAAGAGAUGAAAAGGUACCCAAUCACUUAUGAGAAGCUGCCGGAUUUCUGCUACUUCUGUGGCUGUAUGGGGCAUGUGGUAGAGGAGUGCGGGUACGGGAUCCAUGACCCCGCUGAUUGUGAAUGA